UUCGGUGGCAAUGACGAAGAGGUCCCACCUGUUCCCAUACCGAACACAGAAGUUAAGCUCUUCAGUGCCGAUGGUACUUGGCUGGUAACGGCCCGGGAGAGUAGGUCGCCGCCGGAU
rnacentral:rRNA from 1 species